AUGAACGCUAGCUACAGGCUUAACACAUGCAAGUCGAGGGGCAGCAUGGUCUUAGCUUGCUAAGGCUGAUGGCGACCGGCGCACGGGUGAGUAACACGUAUCCAACCUGCCGUCUACUCUUGGCCAGCCUUCUGAAAGGAAGAUUAAUCCAGGAUGGGAUCAUGAGUUCACAUGUCCGCAUGAUUAAAGGUAUUUUCCGGUAGACGAUGGGGAUGCGUUCCAUUAGAUAGUAGGCGGGGUAACGGCCCACCUAGUCAACGAUGGAUAGGGGUUCUGAGAGGAAGGUCCCCCACAUUGGAACUGAGACACGGUCCAAACUCCUACGGGAGGCAGCAGUGAGGAAUAUUGGUCAAUGGGCGAUGGCCUGAACCAGCCAAGUAGCGUGAAGGAUGACUGCCCUAUGGGUUGUAAACUUCUUUUAUAAAGGAAUAAAGUCGGGUAUGCAUACCCGUUUGCAUGUACUUUAUGAAUAAGGAUCGGCUAACUCCGUGCCAGCAGCCGCGGUAAUACGGAGGAUCCGAGCGUUAUCCGGAUUUAUUGGGUUUAAAGGGAGCGUAGAUGGAUGUUUAAGUCAGUUGUGAAAGUUUGCGGCUCAACCGUAAAAUUGCAGUUGAUACUGGAUGUCUUGAGUGCAGUUGAGGCAGGCGGAAUUCGUGGUGUAGCGGUGAAAUGCUUAGAUAUCACGAAGAACUCCGAUUGCGAAGGCAGCCUGCUAAGCUGCAACUGACAUUGAGGCUCGAAAGUGUGGGUAUCAAACAGGAUUAGAUACCCUGGUAGUCCACACGGUAAACGAUGAAUACUCGCUGUUUGCGAUAUACGGCAAGCGGCCAAGCGAAAGCGUUAAGUAUUCCACCUGGGGAGUACGCCGGCAACGGUGAAACUCAAAGGAAUUGACGGGGGCCCGCACAAGCAGUGGAGUAUGUGGUUUAAUUCGACGCAACGCGAAGAACCUUACCAAGCCUUGACAUUGAUUGCUACGGAAAGAGAUUUCCGGUUCUUCUUCGGAAGACAAGAAAACAGGUGGUGCACGGCUGUCGUCAGCUCGUGUCGUGAGAUGUUGGGUUAAGUCCCGCAACGAGCGCAACCCUUACCAUUAGUUGCUACGCAAGAGCACUCUAAUGGGACUGCCGUUGACAAAACGGAGGAAGGUGGGGAUGACGUCAAAUCAGCACGGCCCUUACGUCCGGGGCUACACACGUGUUACAAUGGGGGGUACAGAGGGCCGCUACCACGCGAGUGGAUGCCAAUCCCUAAAACCCCUCUCAGUUCGGACUGGAGUCUGCAACCCGACUCCACGAAGCUGGAUUCGCUAGUAAUCGCGCAUCAGCCACGGCGCGGUGAAUACGUUCCCGGGCCUUGUACACACCGCCCGUCAAGCCAUGGGAGCCGGGGGUACCUGAAGUGCGUAACCGCGAGGAUCGCCCUAGGGUAAAACUGGUGACUGGGGCU
rnacentral:rRNA from 1 species